UACGUAGGCAGCGAGCGUUGUUCGGAGUUACUGGGCGUAAAGCGUGCGUAGGCGGUGUCUUAAGUUUGUUGUGAAAUCUCCCGGCUUAACCGGGAGGGUGCGGCGAAUACUGAGAUGCUGGAGUGCCGGAGAGGUAAGCGGAAUUCCUGGUGUAGCGGUGAAAUGCGUAGAUAUCAUGAGGAAGACCAGUGGCGAAGGCGGGUCUCUGGACAGUUCCUGACACUGAGGCACGAAGGCCAGGGGAGCAAACGGG
rnacentral:rRNA from 1 species